CGGAAGGAAGCCUGGUCUGGGCAGAGAGGGAAGUGGAGGCCGGAGGAGGCGCUGGGAAAGGUGAGCGAAGGCCGGCCCGGAAGUGCUGCUGGCCUUGGAGCCUUCGUCCUUGGGCCUGGUCCUCUGGGGUGCACCCAAGCCCCGCCGUCUCCAACCUCAGUUUCCUCAGCUGUACACGGGGAGAAGGGAGCCCAGCCUCAAGUGAUGAGAGGAUCGGCGGACAGUGUGUGGCCCACACGGCCGGCCCAGGGUCAGCACUCGGGAACAGGUCGCUGAGGCUGGCGGUAUCAUCCGAGUCUGAACAAAUUACAG
rnacentral:lncRNA from 1 species